CAACAAAUGCAAUACAUACAUACAAUAUAUACACACAGACUGCUGAACACAUUCACCCACCCACUGCUGAAUACAUACACACACCGACUGCUAAAUACAUAGACACACCGACACACACACAGACUGCUAAAUACACACACAUACUGACUGCUGAAUACACACACAGACAGGUGCCUACUUUGCAUUGCUGCCGACCGGUGUCUGCGACCUCCUCCCCCGGUGACCUAUGGCUGUGCGCCCACAGAGAGGACUCGGUGUGCCAUCGGUUCUGCCUUAGCAGUUCUUAAAAUUAGAUAACCUCUGAUAAACAACAACACAUGACAUAUUACUCUGUCAUGAUUUAUUUAACAAAAUUAAAUCCAAAAUCGUGAAGCCAUGUGUGAAAAACUAAGAACACC